GAAAUGGAACAUACAUUAAUAAAUCUCUACAUAAAUGAAAACAAACAUUCAUUCAAAACAUCAAACAGAACCAUUUUAACAGUGCAAUAUAGUUACAUUUUACAAAACCUACAAAGUAAUCUAAUUUCAACUCACGCAAAACAUUGAAACCCAUCUUUAGAUUCACAUGUGGUUAUGAUUAUUGUUAGUCACACAUGUAUCAAAAAUGAUUUUCAAGCCUCAUCUGGCAAGACAUCAACAAGUCUGAAGAUUCUUGAGGGGUCAAAAAGAUACCAAUUACAGAUCAGACCCUGCAGCAUUUCAGAGGGACAAAUAUAACACAGUGUGGGAAGAAUGAUUCCAGAAAACUGGACAAGUCUUCUUUGAAAUGUGAAUAGGACAAAAAAUAAAAAAAUGUGAAGUUUGUGUCCUUUUGAACUCCUUUUGGUUUGGUUUGGUUUUAAAAUAACGAAAACACAAUGAACUUUAUUCCAAAUUAUUCAAUUCAUGUUCAAAUCAAUUGAAAUCUCUCAUUAACAACUGAAUGGCUUGAAGCAAACACCACUUAAUCUGUUGUCAACAUUUUGUUCGUCAAUAAAUUUUGUUUCAACAGAUUGAGCACAUAGUUGCACCUCCUCUUCACAAAUCAAUGGUUUAAACAUAGAAAAUGGUUAAGGAAUAUUUGGGUCCAACAGUGAAACCAUUUUUCUUAAAGGUAUAGUUUACCAAAAAAAUGUAAUUCUGUCAUCAUUUACCCUCAUGUCAAGGGGUCCAAACAACUCUCAACUACUUUUUAUGUUCCACAGAAUAAAUAAAGUAAUAUAGGUUGUCUGGAAUGACAUUAAGGUGAGUAAAUGAUAACCAUAUUUAUUUUUGAUUGAACUAUCCCUUUAUAUCUUGAUCAUGUUUCAAUCAUUUCUACAUGACAGAUGUGUUACUUUAUCAAGAAAACUUUAACAAAUCAACAAAGGUUCA